rnacentral:tRNA from 2 species
GGGCCGCUGGUCUAGUGGCUAUGAUUCCGCAUUGACAGUGCGGAGAUCGCUGGUUCGAAUCCGGCGCGGCCCACCA